rnacentral:lncRNA from 1 species
UGUGUCCCCAUCACAUCCUCAGUGUGUCCACACUGUGUCCCUCAUGGGUUCCCAAUGUGUCCCCAAUGUGUCCUCAAUGUGUCCCCACUGUGUCCCCAGUAUGUGCCCCAUAUGUCCCCAAUGUGUCCCCAUCACAUCCUCAUUGUGUCCCCAAAUACCCCCAACGCGUUCCCAAUGUGUCCCCAUUGCAUCGCCAAUCUGUCCCCAAUGUGUUCCCAGUCUGUCCCUGAUGGACCCCCAAUGAGCCUCCAACACAUCCUCAGGGUGUCCCCAACGUGUCCCCAACACGUCCCCCAUGUGUCCCCAUGGUGUCCCUAUUGUGUCCUCUGUGUGUCCCCAACAUAUCCCCAGUGUGUCCC